CAUCAGCCUAUCUGGGGGAAGGACACCGGCAUCCAUGUGGCGCCAAGGUCAGCAAUGAAUUCCACUUUAACGAGGAUUAGAGGAUUUCGAACGACUGGGCUCAGAGAACAGGAGAGACCAUGACCUCAAGGUCCUUUUUCAUUGCUUUCUACAGUUAUGUCCAGUCUGACCAGGCUGCAGGUCCUCCCACAGGCUCACAGGGAGCUGUGCUUGCUCAGACGACCCUGCCUACGUAAAUGUAAGUAUUGUGCUUCCGUGGUCACAUUUAAACAGAAGAAGAAUAAACAAAGUGAAAGCUGUGGAAAUCCUGACAUCUCCUGGCUGUUCUGGUCCAGAUUACGAAGCCUGAAGUGAGUCACACUCCUACCUGAAACAGCUUCGUGGACGUUUACCAGAAAGAUAGAGGGCAGAAUUGUCAUCCAAAGAGAGAUCCCGUCUAUCAACUGAUGAGUGGAUAAAUGAAAUGGGAAUAUCCAUAGACUGAAACAUUAUCAGGCAAUAAAAUGAAGUAAAGCCGUGAGACGUGUGAAAGUUGAUUAUUCAAAGAUGAAAUCAUUCUUGUGAUAGCCCAGCAAAAUCAGAGCAUGGAAGUUACGCAACUCAGAAAAUAUUUCUUUGUACUCACAUGCUCCGUGCUUACAUGUAUGCACAGAUUUCUGAAACGAAGCCCGUCUUUAAUGUUCUCCAGAAGUGCAAUAAUUCCCACAGCAUGCUCUAGACAGAGCAGGGAGGGGAACAGCCCCACAUCCCGGAGGAGCUGAGCCAACUUCUGCCUCUGGAUUCCCGGGCAGUUCACUUCCUGUCCAGGCACCAUUUUCAUCUUUGGCUCUAAACGCUUCUUGCCUCACAGUCUUAGAUCAUGCCCGUAGUUUACCAUGGCCGUACAUCCCACUGCAAUUCUUUGUCAUUUGCAAAUAAAUAUCAUUGCCUUUUA